rnacentral:rRNA from 1 species
AUUGAACGCUAGCGGGAUGCCUUACACAUGCAAGUCGAACGGAGUGGCGAACGGGUGAGUAAUGUAUCGGAACGUGCCCGUUAGCGGUGGAUAACUACGCGAAAGCGUAGCUAAUACCGCAUACUAUUGGAGCGGCCGAUAUCGGAUUAGCUAGUGGGGGGGGUAACGGCUCACAAAGGCGACGAUCCGUAGCUGGUUUGAGAGGACGACCAGCCACACUGGGACUGAGACACGGCCCAGACUCCUACGGGAGGCAGCAGUGGGGAAUUUUGGACAAUGGGGGAAACCCUGAUCCAGCCAUCCCGCGUGUGCGAUGAAGGCCUUCGGGUUGUAAAGCACUUUUGGCAGGAAAGCGGUACCUGCAGAAUAAGCACCGGCUAACUACGUGCCAGCAGCCGCGGUAAUUC